rnacentral:rRNA from 1 species
AGCAGCCGCGGUAAUUCCAGCUCCAAUAGCGUAUAUUAAAGUUGUUGCAGUUAAAAGCUCGUAGUUGAAUUUUAGGCCUGGCCGCGGUCCGUCUUUGGCGAGUACUGUCCUGUGUCGGGUCUUCCUUCUGGUGAACCUGCAUGUCCUUUAUUGGGUGUGCUGGGGAGCCAGGACCAUUACCUUGAAAAAUUAGAGUGUUUAAAGCGGGCUUUUGCUUGAAUAGAUUAGCAUGGAAUAAUAGAAUAGGACGUUGUGGUUCUAUUUUGUUGGUUUCUAGGACCACCGUAAUGAUUAAUAGGGAUAGUUGGGGCAUUAGUAUUCAAUUGUCAGAGGUGAAAUUCUUGGAUUUAUUGGAGACUAACUAUUGCGAAAGCAUUUGCCAAGGAUGUUUUCAUUAAUCAAGAACGAAAGUUAGGGAUCGAAGACGAUCAGAUACCGUCGUAGUCUUAACCAUAAACUAUGCCGACUAGGAAUCGGGCGACGUUAUUUUCAUGACUCGCUCGGCGCCUUAUGGGAAACC